UACGUAGGGGGCAAGCGUUGUCCGGAAUCAUUGGGCGUAAAGAGCGUGUAGGCGGCUUGGUAAGUCCGCUGUGAAAGUCCAGGGCUCAACCCUGGAAUGCCGGUGGAAACUGUCAAGCUUGAGUCCGGAAGAGGUGAGUGGAAUUCCUGGUGUAGCGGUGAAAUGCGCAGAUAUCAGGAGGAACACCAAUGGCGAAGGCAGCUCGCUGGGACGGUACUGACGCUGAGGCGCGAAAGCGUGGGGAGCAAACGGG
rnacentral:rRNA from 1 species